rnacentral:rRNA from 1 species
GACCCUGGCCAUACCACCCUGAACAGCCUGAUCUUAUCUCAGAAGCUAAUCAGGGUUGGGCCUGGUUAGUACCUGGAUGGGCUACUGCUUGGGAAUACAGGGUGCUGAAGGCU